AGAGUUUGAUCCUGGCUCAGGACGAACUUUUGCGGCGUGCCUAAUACAUGCAAGUCGAGCGAGCUUGCCUAGAUGAUUUUAGUGCUUGCACUAAAUGAAACUAGAUACGAGCGAGCGGCGGACGGGUGAGUAACACCGUGCGGUAACUCUGGCCAAGAGAACUGGCCAUAACACCUGUGAAACAGAUGCUAAUACCAGAUAACAACACUAGACGCUUGUCUAGAGUUUGAACGAUGGUUCUGCUAUCCCUCUUGGGAUGGACCUGCGGUGCAUUACCUAGUUGGUAAGGUAACGGCUUACCAAGGCAAUGAUGCAUAGCCGAGUUGAGAGACUGAUCGGCCACAUUGGGACUGAGACACGGCCCAAACUCCUACGGGAGGCAGCAGUAAGGAAUCUUCCACAAUGGACGAAAGUCUGAUGGAGCAACGCCGCGUGAGUGAAGAAGGGUUUCGGCUCGUAAAGCUCUGUUGGUAGUGAAGAAAGAUAGAGGUAGUAACUGGCCUUUAUUUGACGGUAAUUACUUAGAAAGUCACGGCUAACUACGUGCCAGCAGCCGCGGUAAUACGUAGGUGGCAAGCGUUGUCCGGAUUUAUUGGGCGUAAAGCGAGUGCAGGCGGUUCAAUAAGUCUGAUGUGAAAGCCUUCGGCUCAACCGGAGAAUUGCAUCAGAAACUGUUGAACUUGAGUGCAGAAGAGGAGAGUGGAACUCCAUGUGUAGCGGUGGAAUGCGUAGAUAUAUGGAAGAACACCAGUGGCGAAGGCGGCUCUCUGGUCUGCAACUGACGCUGAGGCUCGAAAGCAUGGGUAGCGAACAGGAUUAGAUACCCUGGUAGUCCAUGCCGUAAACGAUGAGUGCUAAGUGUUGGGAGGAUUUCCGCCUCUCAGAUGCUGCAGCUAACGCAUAAAGCACUCAGCCCUGUGGAGCACGGCCGCAAGGUUAAACAUCAAAGGAAUUGACGGGGACCCGCGCAAGCGGUGGAGCAUGUGGUUUAAUUCGAAGCAACGCGAAGAACCUUACCACCUCUUGCACAUCCUAGACCUCACAGCAGAGAAUGUGUGUUCCUUUCGUGCCCUCAGAGCCAGGUGGUGCAUGGCUGUCGUCAGUUCGCGUCGUGAGAUGUUGGGUUAAGUCCCGCAACGAGCGCAACCCUCAUCCUUAGUAGCCAGCAUUCA
rnacentral:rRNA from 1 species